rnacentral:rRNA from 1 species
CAGUAGCCGCGGUAAGACAGAGGAUGCAAGCGUUAUCCGGAAUGAUUGGGCGUAAAGCGUCUGUAGGUGGCUUUUCAAGUCCGCCGUCAAAUCCAGGGCUCAACCCUGGACAGGCGGUGGAAACUACCAAGCUGGAGUACGGUAGGGGCAGAGGGAAUUUCCAGUGGAGCGGUGAAAUGCGUUGAGAUCGAAAAGAACACCAACAGCGAAAGCACUCUGCUGGGACGACACUGACACUAAGAGACGAAAGCUAGGGGAGCAAAUGGGAUUAGAUACCCGUGUAGUCCCUGUCUCUUAUACA